CGUGUGUGUAGGAAAUAACGUCACAUGUUUAUAGGCUUUUGCAGGUCUAUCUAAUAUCUGGACAUCUUGAUGAUUUCCAACGUCCAUGAUUCCAGUACAAAAUUAUAUCGAGAAGAAAACCAUUUCGUCCCCAAUUUUUUCCCAGUUUCAGUCAGCUGCAGAUGUUUUUAGAUCGAUGAAUUGGUAGAGCUUGAGAGGGAUUUUGACGAAUUUAAGAAUGAGGUUGAGUUGGCUUAAGAUUAGGCAGCAAAAUCAAAUGUGUUUCUGAUGGAGAUGGGUUUUAAAUCUGUUGCUGUGGUCGGGAAUCGCUUAAGAGACUCAAGGGUUGAGAGAUCAAAGAAGGAAUAUAGGAUCGGAUUAGGGUUUUGCAGCGAUGUUGGAGCUGUUACUGCCAUGGGUGUUACUGCCAAGGAAGAGAUUGUUUGAUGGGGGUUUGAAGCAACAAACUGAUGUGAAGAAAUUGAGUUUAAGAGGGUUUCCUGUUGAUUCUGAGUGAAUGAAUAAUGGAAGAAUUUGAUUGAUAGUGUGAAGAUUCUCCACUUAAAAGACUAGUGAUUUUUGGUUUGUCAGUUUUCUUCAAACCAGAUUAAUCAAAAAGGGUUUCAAUUGAGCUCAAGAAGAACUAUUUUUAGGGGGAUUCGGACUUCUUCUAAUUGGAUUGAGGAGAAAUCUGCUUAUGAUACACUUGAUAAGAAAGGGAUGCUAAUGAAGAGAAGAUAAAGUUUGCUUAAAGACACCUCACUAAAUUUUAUCAUCCUGAUGUAUAUAAUGGUAGCGGAACUCUUGAGGAAGGUGAAACAACUGAAACUCGAUUCAUAAAGAUAUAAGCUGCUUAUGAGUUGCUCAUAGAUGACAAGAGGCGCACACAAUAUGACAGGGAACACCGUGUUAAUCCUGUGAAGGCUUCACAAGCAUGGAUUGGCCCGUAAAGAAGGGAACAUCUUUUGAUCAGAGAGGUGAUAUGGCUGUCGCAGCUUGGGCCGAAUAGCAACCGCAUGAGUUGAAUGUUCAUGUACAGCGUCUAUCUCGUACAAAGUGCCACGUGUCAAAAAUGGUGAAGUGUACAUAGUCUACAUGGCAUAUUCGAGUCCAGGUGUACAGAGUCUAUGCGUGCUGACUUAGCCGGGUUAAAUCAGUGACACGGUCUUAAACUAACAAUUCAAAGGACUAUUCUAUCGUUUCAAGUCCACUUAACGGUGCUACUUUCCAUCCACCAAUUUUGGUCAAAUAAGACCUGGUUUCGUAAGAAAUAAAAAAAAACAGGGUUAGAUUUGUAAAUCAUAAAAGAAACAAAUCUAGAUUUGUAAAAAGCCCAAAAUUAAAUGUAUAUUCAUUAUGCCUAGAUUUUCGUUGCAACUAAUAAAAUGAUGUACUCUCUCC